rnacentral:misc_RNA from 1 species
UGGAAGUAAAAAGUCGUAACAAGGUUUCCGUAGGUGAACCUGCGGAAGGAUCAUUAAUUAUGUUAAAGCGCCUUACCUCUUAGGGUUUCCUCUGGGGUAAGUGAUUGCUUCUACACUGUGAAAAUUUGGCUGAGAGACUCAGACUGGUCAUGGGUAGACCUAUCUGGGGUUUGAUCGAUGCCACUCCUGGUUUCAGGAGCACCCUUCAUAAUAAACCUAGAAAUUCAGUAUUAUAAAGUUUAAUAAAAAACAACUUUUAACAAUGGAUCUCUUGGUUCUCGCAUCGAUGAAGAACGUAGCAAAGUGCGAUAACUAGUGUGAAUUGCAUAUUCAGUGAAUCAUCGAGUCUUUGAACGCAGCUUGCACUCUAUGGUUUUUCUAUAGAGUACGCCUGCUUCAGUAUCAUCACAAACCCACACAUAACAUUUGUUUAUGUGGUAAUGGGUCGCAUCGCUGUUUUAUUACAGUGAGCACCUAAAAUGUGUGUGAUUUUCUGUCUGGCUUGCUAGGCAGGAAUAUUACGCUGGUCUCAGGAUCUUUUUCUUUGGUUCGCCCAGGAAGUAAAGUACAAGAGUAUAAUCCAGCAACUUUCAAACUAUGAUCUGAAGUCAGGUGGGAUUACCCGCUGAACUUAAGCAUAUCAAUAA